rnacentral:snRNA from 1 species
AGCUUUGCACAUUGGCAGUAUCAUAGCCAAUGAGGUUUAUCUGUGGCACGAUUAUUGCUAAUUUUAACAAAACUGUACCUGAUACU